AUGGCGGACGGCGGCGGCAGCGACUGGGAGGUGGUGUCGCUCACGGCCUCCACCUACGCAGCCUCACCAGGGCCAAUCCCAAUCUCGGCCCCCAUCCACGACGCCGCUGACAAAACAGAGUCGCCUCUUCUUCUCCUCCCAAAUCCUCCCGCUCCCCCUGCACAUUUCUUCAUGUCCCAGCACUUCAAUCUCCCACUUUUUACUACUACCCAUCUUGAGAAUAACAAUGGAAGCCAAGACCUAGAAUCCGGCCCUGCCGCUGCCGUGCCGGACGGCGAUGAUGCCGACCAUCUCAACACGCCCCGCCCAGAAAACCGCGACGGUGGGAGGGACGAUGUGCCCGGCAAUGGCCCGCACCUGCAGGUGGAAGGAGGAGGAGGGGGCGAGGAACUGCAGCAAACCACCAUGUUCUGCUCUCUUCCUAAAGACGCUACUGCAGGUGCAGAUGCUGCUGCUGAUGCCACGGAUGCCACUGCUGUCGGUUCUGCUACCCUGCCUGCUCCUGCUCCUGCUCCUGCCGCCACGGUGACGGUGGCUGCUCCUUCCGGCGGAGUGGGCGCUUGCAAUUGCAAUGCUGCUCAGGCUCAGGCGUGGUGGGAGAAGACCUUCUCCUUCCCGCGUCAAGAUGGGAGUGGGAAUGGCACACAGCCCCUCGCCUUCCGCUUCGUCUUCGUCGCCGGCAAACUGCAGCUUCAGGAAGAGGACCACCUCAGCGUCAGCCCUGUCCCUGAAUUCGGCCAAACCCAGAAGAUAAGCUGCACGGUGACUGAGCCGCUUGAUCAGGCCAAGGUCAGCAUGCUUGGUGGAGGAGGCCCUGUUGCUCAGCAGGGGUAA
rnacentral:rRNA from 1 species